rnacentral:rRNA from 1 species
GAUCAUGGCUCAGGACGAACGCUGGCGGCGCGCCUAACACAUGCAAGUCGAACGGAGUGUAUCUUUGGAAGUUUUCGGAUGGAAGAGGAUAUACUGAGUGGCGGACGGGUGAGUAACACGUGAGCAACCUGCCUUUCAGAGGGGGAUAACGAUUGGAAACGAUCGCUAAUACCGCAUGAUAUUACUAAGUCACAUGACAUGGUAAUCAAAGGAGCAAUCCGCUGAAAGAUGGG